GCAUGGCUGCUGUCUCAAUUGGUAGAGCAUGAGACUCUUAAUGUCAGGGUUGCGGGUUUGAGUUCCAUGUUAGGCA